rnacentral:rRNA from 1 species
GGGGGAUAUUGCGCAAUGGGGGCAACCCUGACGCAGCAACGCCGCGUGAAGGAUGAAGGUUUUCGGAUUGUAAACUUCUUUUAUUAAGGACGAAAAUUGACGGUACUUAAUGAAUAAGCUCCGGCUAACUACGUGCCAGCAGCCGCGGUAAUACGUAGGGAGCAAGCGUUGUCCGGAUUUACUGGGUGUAAAGGGUGCGUAGGCGGCUUUGCAAGUCAGAUGUGAAAUCUAUGGGCUCAACCCAUAAACUGCAUUUGAAACUGUAGAGCUUGAGUGAAGUAGAGGCAGGCGGAAUUCCCCGUGUAGCGGUGAAAUGCGUAGAGAUGGGGAGGAACACCAGUGGCGAAGGCGGCCUGCUGGGCUUUAACUGACGCUGAGGCACGAAAGCGUGGGUAGCAAACAGGAUUAGAUACCCUGGUAGUCCACGCUGUAAACGAUGAUUACUAGGUGUGGGGGGUCUGACCCCUUCCGUGCCGGAGUUAACACAAUAAGUAAUCCACCUGGGGAGUACGGCCGCAAGGUUGAAACUCAAAGGAAUUGACGGGGGCCCGCACAAGCAGUGGAGUAUGUGGUUUAAUUCGAAGCAACGCGAAGAACCUUACCAGGUCUUGACAUCCAACUAACGAAGUAGAGAUACAUUAGGUGCCCUUCGGGGAAAGUUGAGACAGGUGGUGCAUGGUUGUCGUCAGCUCGUGUCGUGAGAUGUUGGGUUAAGUCCCGCAACGAGCGCAACCCUUGCUAUUAGUUGCUACGCAAGAGCACUCUAAUAGGACUGCCGUUGACAAAACGGAGGAAGGUGGGGACGACGUCAAAUCAUCAUGCCCCUUAUGGCCUGGGCUACACACGUACUACAAUGGCGGUCAACAGAGGGAAGCAAAGCCGCGAGGUGGAGCAAAUCCCUAAAAGCCGUCUCAGUUCGGAUUGCAGGCUGCAACUCGCCUGCAUGAAGCUGGAAUUGCUAGUAAUCGCGGAUCAGCAUGCCGCGGUGAAUACGUUCCCG